rnacentral:lncRNA from 1 species
GGGUGGCUGGAACUCACCGAACUAGCCUCGACGUGGGUCGGGGAGGCCUAUGGCCAUCGAUCCGAUGGGGUGCCUAUAGAUGUGCACAUGUGCGCCUAUAGAUCCAUCGAUCCAGUGCCUUUCUUCGCCAUUCCUCCUCUCUCCCUCUUUCCUCUUUUUCUUUUCUUCUUUCUUUCUUUCUUUCUCUUUCUUUCUUUUUCUUUCCUUUUUUGGCAUCUCUUGUGAUGGGAUGGGACAUGCUAUUGAGAUCACUGUAUGC